CAUAUAUAUAUACAUAUAUACAUACACAUAUACCUAUUUAGAUGCUUUACAAGCGCGCUGCUUUUAAUUACUUAAUACCCUAAAAGUUAUUAACGUUAUACUAUCGUAAUAAUCUCUAACUAGCGUAACACUCUUAAUCUUCCUUCAAAUUGAACCAUCUAACCUUCCGCCGGUGGCCGAUUAUAUAUCUUAUACAUAUUAUCUACUAAAAUAUCAUAUUUCUCUGCUCAACAUUCGUAAGUGGGAGCUUCCUUUUUGCCAGAGAGUCUAAAAGGAAAGAGGAAAUGAAAAUAGAAAAAAAAAAUGGGAGAAAAAAAUGAGACAAAGAGAGACAGAGAAAAAGAGAGAGAGAGAGAGAGGAAGUACCUUAUAUAUCCCAACGAUACACACCCCCACCACUCGAUGACUGAUAUUUGCAGGAUAUUGUUCCAAUUGGAUGUCCCAAGGAAGCCGGGGGUAUUCAAAAGCAAUAACGACGUAGGCGAGAGCGCGUCCACGAGAUAUGGGCCGUGCGAUCGAAUAAUUUAUAAAGAGACGAUUUAUAAUAAAAAAUAGUUUCAUCAAUUUUUAAUCCUACUCGAUUUACAUAAAUACAUAUACAUAUAUACAUUACAUACAUAACAUAACAUAACAUAACAUAAAAUAAAAUAAAUAAAAUAAAUUUAAAAUAAUGCGAGAGCCCUUAGAGGCGCAAAGAGUUAAAACUUUUACUCGCUCUAUCAUGAUUAAACGCAAUAAUCGAAAAUAAGAGACAGUUGCAAUAAUCGCCUGUAAGUUAAUAAUAUAUGAGAGAGAAAGAGAGAGAGAGAGAGAGA